CCGGAUGGAGCCUGGUGCCUUCCCCUCGGCCUUGCAGAGGGCUCCAGCCCACUGCCUCUGUGGUAGCCGCUGGCUCUCAGAAGUAGCACGUGGGCAGGAGUCUCUCCUCUGAUCCAGGAGCAUUGGCAGCCGUGAAGAGGGAUACCAAGGAAAAUUCUUUCUGCUAUCUUUCUCUUUGACCCCUCAGAUAUGUGAGGAAUCAAGCCAUAAAUGUGCAUUUGCUGGACAUUAUGUACCAUGUCAUCUCUAUGACUACAGAUUUCAAGGAUAGUUUUUACAUCUAACAAUUUCACUGUAACAGUGACCGAUAAUGUGAAAAAUGUGCUUUAUACAGUGCUGCUGGUGGGUAGACAAGUGCUUGCUGCAGUUGUUUCUGAAUCUAGCCAGAUGCUGGAGUCGUGAAGCUGUAAGCUCCGCGGGAGCAGGGACCAUCUCUCUUUCUUGCACUACAGGCACUCAAUAAAUACUCGUGGCUGUGAACUGG
rnacentral:sRNA from 1 species